rnacentral:rRNA from 1 species
GUUGAACGCUGGCGGCAGGCCUAACACAUGCAAGUCGAACGAGUGGCGGACGGGUGAGUAAUGUCUGGGCAACUGCCCGAUGGAGGGGGAUGACUACUGGAAACGGUAGCUAAUACCGCAUACGCUCGGAUGUGCCCUGAUGGGAUUAGCUAGUAGGUGGGGUAAAGGCUCACCUAGGCGACGAUCCCUAGCUGGUCUGAGAGGAUGACCAGCCACACUGGAACUGAGACACGGUCCAGACUCCUACGGGAGGCAGCAGUGGGGAAUAUUGCACAAUGGGCGCAAGCCUGAUGCAGCCAUGCCGCGUGUAUGAAGAAGGCCUUAGGGUUGUAAAGUACUUUCAGCGAGGAGGCGUUACUCGCAGAAGAAGCACCGGCUAACUCCGUGCCAGCAGCCGCGGUAAUUC